AACGAACGUUAGCGGCGCGCUUAACACAUGCAAGUCGAGCGAGAAAGAGGGCAACCUCCGGUAAAGCGGCGCACGGGUGAGUAACACGUAGGUAACCUACCCCCAGGUGGUGGAUAACCUCCCGAAAGGGGGCUAAUACAGCAUAAGACCACGCCUUCGAAAGAAGGUGAGGUCAAAGUCGGCCUCUAUUCAUAAGCUGACGCCAGGGGACGGGCCUGCGGCCCAUCAGGUAGUUGGUAGGGUAACGGCCUACCAAGCCGAAGACGGGUAGCUGGUCUGAGAGGAUGAUCAGCCACACUGGAACUGAGACACGGUCCAGACUCCUACGGGAGGCAGCAGUGGGGAAUCUUGCGCAAUGGGCGAAAGCCUGACGCAGCGACGCCGCGUGAGUGAUGAAGGCCUUCGGUUGUAAAGCUCUGUGGGGGGAGACGGAAUAAGUCGUGGCCGAACAUCCACGAUGAUGACGGUAGUCCCCUUAGCAAGCACCGGCUAACUCUGUGCCAGCAGCCGCGGUAAU
rnacentral:rRNA from 1 species